GAUGAACGCUAGCGGCAGGCCUAAUACAUGCAAGUCAAGGGGGUAGCAAUAUCACCGGCGGACGGGUGCGUAACGCGUACACAACGUGCCCAAGGGCGGAGGAAAGCGGCGGGAAACUGCCGGUAAUACUCCAUGGUGUUGUUGAGUGGCAUCACUUAACAACUAAAGUACAAGCGCCCUUGGAUCGGUGUGCGUUCGAUUAGCUAGUUGGCGGGGUAACGGCCCACCAAGGCUACGAUCGAUAGGGGGUGUGAGAGCAUGACCCCCCACACGGGUACUGAGACACGGACCCGACUCCUACGGGAGGCAGCAGUAAGGAAUAUUGGACAAUGGGCGAAAGCCUGAUCCAGCCAUGCCGCGUGAAGGACGAAGGCGCUCAGCGUUGUAAACUUCUUUUGGAUGGGACAAUAACUCCGACUUGUCGGAACUUGAGGGUACCAUCAGAAUAAGCACCGGCUAACUCCGUGCCAGCAGCCGCGGUAAAGUCUGUACU
rnacentral:rRNA from 1 species